UAAUCAUGGGAACAAAGCCCUUAGUAUUUACAUAUGAUAAAAAUGCAGGCCAGUAUAGUAAAAUCAGUAAGUACAUUCUUUAAAAUUUCAAUUCAGUAUAUUCCUGAGAUUUUAUUAUACAGGUAGUACUAUAAAGAACAUAGAAGACCUCAUUAUCCAACUUAAUUCAGACCAGGGUUUGAUUAAAAAAAUAAAAAACAAAAAACUACCACACAGGACAAAGAAAUUGCCAUAAAAUUGAGUUCCUAUAAAUGUGUUCCAGUUUAAGUAACUAAGUCCCUAAAAUGAGCCUUAGUAAAGUCUACGCUGCAUAUAGACAGACUUAGGCACAUCAAGUAUACAGGUGACAAUUAGCAAGUGUAUAAAGCUAUGGUCAUUUCGCUAAAUGUGUAAAUCUAAAGGCAACCAAGUAAAAGACCUAAAAAAGGAAACUGUUAAGUCCAUUUGUACAUGGAUUUAACAGUGAAGCAUUUCAUUCUUCAUGUUUUCACUUGGUGUCUUGAAAUAAUCCCCUUUCUGUCUCCACUCUCCCUCUUAGACACUGCACCUGCCUUAUUUAUUUAUGAAGUCUGAAGGUUAGUCCUACCUGCUGAGACUAAUUAGCCCUGUGCUUUGUAUCCUAUGCAAUCCUGUCUGAUUAAAUGUACACAUUUGUUUUACUUCUUUUCAGGCUCCUUCUCACUCUACUUCUGAUAUUCUGAUUAAUAUCAAAGUUGGGAGUUACAGUGAUUCUCCUCUGCCUCCCCCCCAACCCAUUUUUAUUUUGCCUGCAUCUUAUUCUUUAGUGUGCAAAUGUGGUUGUGAUUUUUUUCCAGUGCAGGGGAAUUCGUUGGCCUUGUCAAUCUCGGUAUCAUUAUUUUUAGUAGUCUUUCUGAGACUUUAGCCUAUAAAACAGUUUUGCUGAAACCCCAAACUCUCUAAAUAUUACAUGGCAAAUUUGCUUUCUUUUGGAAACCUCGGUGCUGAUGGGCCAGCUGAAGUGCAGGUGAGCUUUUUCAGGGAAGGGUGGGACAACAGUACAUCCUGGACUCUAGACUAAUACUACUCCUAAGAGGCAAUUUGCUAAAUCCUACUGAUUUAUUUUUUUCUUUUUUCUCUUUUUCAUGUUGUAGUGUCCAGUCUACUUCUUACUGGGUAUUUGCAAAAAUGAAUUUUCUUGCUCUAUCACCCAGGAACAUUGUGUUUUGGGAGCUGGGUCUUUCCUCUUUAACAUAAUUCCAUUCCCCAUUUUGUAGCAAAUCAGUCUGCUCCUCCUCUAAUACCUAAAAGUCAACAAAUACCUGCCUCAAGCCCCAGGUUUCCCAUCUUCUCCCGAAGGUCUUCUAGCAUCGGUUUGGUUAGCAAUUUCCUGCCAGAGCCACCUACAUCUUGAUUAUUUUGGUCAGUCUUUCGGGGAUUUCAUUUCAGACCCCCUUCGAGAAACACUGUAGCCCAACUGAUCCCAGGGGUUGGUGAACUUUCAGUUUUAUUUUCCCUGACGGUGUUAACGCCCAAACUUUUCACCUCCUAAGUCAAAAAGGACUUUGACUCUAGCUCAUUUCCUACUACCUCCAACGUCAGUUAAAAAAAAAAAAAAAAAAGCAAAACACCACUCUACAUUUAAAAGAAUCAUAUAUUUUUCCUUAAGGAUACUUUUAAUGUUUCUGACAUUUAGCAUU
rnacentral:lncRNA from 1 species